rnacentral:rRNA from 1 species
UACGUAGGGUGCGAGCGUUAAUCGGAAUUACUGGGCGUAAAGCGUGCGCAGGCGGUUUUGUAAGCCAGAUGUGAAAUCCCCGGGCUCAACCUGGGAACUGCAUUUGUGACUGCAUGGCUAGAGUGCGGCAGAGGGGGAUGGAAUUCCGCGUGUAGCAGUGAAAUGCGUAGAGAUGUGGAGGAACACCGAUGGCGAAGGCAGCCCCCUGGGCUGAGAUUGACGCUCAGGCACGAAAGCGUGGGGAGCAAACAGG